rnacentral:lncRNA from 1 species
UUUUAAUUUAGUAAUGUGUUAUGAGGUACAGGAGUGACAAGAAAAAUAUAGAAGAAAGCAGUGGGGAGAGGAGGAUUCCUUACACAGCUGAUUGAUAGAGGUGUCUUUCAGCAUAAUCCUCUCAUUCUGAUCACACUGGAGACCAGUGGUAUCCUUGAGGCAUUUUGUUCUGUAAAUGGUUUCCUGAUCCACACCACUUUCAUAUUUUCCGUAAAGAACACUUAAUCUAGGAAAAAAAAUCAUUCUGAAACAUGCUGGCCUUAAUUUGAUGAACUUCAGUAUGUAAUCAGUCCUCUGACUCAAAUCACAUCCUCCAACAGUUUCGUGAUUGGAGAUAUUACCUGAAUGAGUCCUGGUGAGCCUUUUUUGUCUCAAUCAAGUGUUUAUGGCAAUUGUAUGCAGCCUUUUUUCCCUCCUCCCCCCACCCAUUUCCCUCCCUUUUCCCCAUCAGUAAAUUCCUUUGGGUGUUCAGCUGUUGGAAAUCUCUCCUGUCUGCCUAAGGACCCUCUGCAUUAACAAGGGAUGGAAGGGAAGCACAUAGGAACUCACUGGGACAUUUAUGCAAAUAUCUGAUGAAGGCUCUCAGUGUGGAUAUCUCCAGCCAGGUGAGAGAGGAAAGAUGAUUAUCUCAGGAUCAGGAACCACCUUCUAAAGAUCAUUUUCUUCAUGUGGUCAUCAAUACUGUGGUGUCUGAAUUACUCCAGGAGUGUUUUUUCUCAUUUGAGACAUCUGUUAGACUGGGUGAAUCAUCCACAGAAAUGUCUGUUUCUCUCUACUAAAUUUAAAGGGCUGACACUGCAAAAAGAUGUGGAUGAGCAAAGAAUCAUAUCAGUGUUUCAUCUGUGCACUUCAAGAACUGCAGGAAGAAUACAAGAGAAAACAACCUCACAAAAUAUGAUAAUAAAUGCACUCCCUACCCUUCUCUGUCAGCUUUCUGAUCUUGCAAGGCAGAAACCUGCAAACACUCCUUUCAAUACUGCAGAGAGAACAAAAAGUCAAUACAACCCACGAGUAAACAACAUUUCUUACCUCUCCUUGAGGUAAGAUUUGAGCAGAUUUGCUCAAAUAUUUUCAGUGGGUGGGCUCCCAUUAUUUAGGUUAAGGGUUAAGAAAAUAUGAUAAGGAAUGUGUUUUUAAAAUAAGACUGAUAUGGAUCAUAUUUUCUAAGAACCUUAUUGAAACAAUAAAGCUUUUGAG